AGUUAUAUGCUUGUCUCAAAGAUUAAGCCAUGCAUGUCUCAGUACAAGCCUAAUUAAGGUGAAACCGCGAAAGGCUCAUUAAAUCAGUUAUGGUUCCUUAGAUCGUACCCACAUUUACUUGGAUAACUGUGGUAAUUCUAGAGCUAAUACAUGCAAACAGAGCUCCGACCGGAGACGGGAGGAGUGCUUUUAUUAGAUCAAAACCAAUCGGCGGCGGGCGCGUCCGCGCGUCCGUUCGCCGCUCAACCUGGCGACUCUGAAUAACUUUCCGCUGAUCGCACGGUCUCGCACCGGCGACGCAUCUUUCAAAUGUCUGCCUUAUCAACUGUCGAUGGUAGGUUCUGCGCCUACCAUGGUCGUAACGGGUAACGGGGAAUCAGGGUUCGAUUCCGGAGAGGGAGCGUGAGAAACGGCUACCACAUCCAAGGAAGGCAGCAGGCG
rnacentral:rRNA from 1 species